rnacentral:rRNA from 1 species
CCUACGGGCGGCUGCAGUGGGGAAUAUUGGGCAAUGGACGCAAGUCUGACCCAGCAACGCCGCGUGAAGGAAGAAGGCUUUCGGGUUGUAAACUUCUUUUAAGGGGGAAGAGCAGAAGACGGUACCCCUUGAAUAAGCCACGGCUAACUACGUGCCAGCAGCCGCGGUAAUACGUAGGUGGCAAGCGUUGUCCGGAUUUACUGGGUGUAAAGGGCGUGCAGCCGGAGAGACAAGUCAGAUGUGAAAUCCACGGGCUCAACCCGUGAACUGCAUUUGAAACUGUUUCCCUUGAGUGUCGGAGAGGUAAUCGGAAUUCCUUGUGUAGCGGUGAAAUGCGUAAAUAUAUGUAAGAACACCAGUGGCGAAGGCGGCUUGCUGGGUCGAUACUGACAUUGAGGCACGAAAGCGUGGGGAGCAAACAGGAUUAGAUACCCGAGUAGUC